rnacentral:misc_RNA from 1 species
AAUCUCCUAACCCUUAAUAAAUAUAUCUAGAGAUCGGGAGAAAUUCCCUGCCCGAGCUCUCUUAACGAAAUUCAAACUAAAUGACAUGACCCCAAUACACAAGACAAUCUCACUCAAACACUUAUUCACUAAAGGGCCACCUCACGAACUUGUGUUCCUGGGCAACCCAAGAUAAGUGAAAUAUCAAACAUUCCUUUAUUUUGCACAAAGAAUUAACAUCAUCACUAUCUCAAUCCCUUAAUUACCCUUUUAAUUUAUAAAAGAACAUAACAUUAAAUCUGUUUACCCUCGUUAAGGGACGAGGCUGGGUGCCUAACACCUUCCCCGCCCGUAUACGGAUCCCGAAUCUAGAAUUUCUAUUUUCGAAGUGGUUUCCUUUUGAUCUGUUUUCACAAAUGUUUUUCUUUAAUUUCCCUCAAAAUU